AAAUUUUUCGUUACGAAAAGAUUCUGGACUGUUCGGGAUUCGAAGCCAGACACUUCCAGCAUGUUAAUUGUUCACUUUGUUACGAGUAAAUGGACACUUCAGGAUAAUUACCACCAUGUCAUGUUCUGUGAGGGUGGUAUCGUUCACAAGUCGACAGACAGCGACGACAGCUGAUGAAUACGAUUGUUAAACGUUGUUUUUUUUUGUGAAUCGAACGCGCUUUUAAAUUUGGUUAUGUUUCAUCCGCGUGUUUACUACGCAAGUGCGCGUCUCAUCAAUGGUAACGACCUAGUGGACAGAUAACUUGGUUGAAACAACAGCAUCACCGUGUGGAAAGAGAAACGGUGAAAUUGCUGAAAGCGCGAUUUGGGCAUUUCACUGAUGAUGAUUUCUUCUUAAUUCGUUUGUUUUGAUACCUCUACGAAUAUAGGUAUUCCACUUUGUGAGAUAUUUAUAAAUUACGGAUUGCUCUUGUUUUUGUGCUGAAUAUUUAGCUAUACUUCUUAGUGUAUGUUAACUAGAGAGUGAUCUAUUAUAUUUUUAUCUCCUGAAUUGACUAUGAUUCUAUACUGUUGCAUGUGAGACUAUAUCUUAUAAAUUUUGAUGGUGUUGGCGGUUGGUCCGUUGAUUCUUCGGAUCUGCAGGUGGGGUCAUGUGGUGAAAUAGUUUCGGAUAUACACUUUUGAUCACACCAGAAAACGGCGCAGUUCAGUCCAAGAUCUCGAUCCGAUUGGAUAUUAGUGCAAAGUUAACGGUCAAAUUUCAAAUAAGUGAUCAAUAUGGGUAAAGGAAAAGGCGGUGGUGGUGGAGGUGGAUCCGGAGCAAACGCCGGUGGCAACCAAAAAGGUGGUGCAGGCAAAUCGAAAGGUGGAAAUGAAAAUAAAGGUGCUGCUGGAGGUAAGGGCGCAGCCAAAGGAGGACAAAAGGGUGGCAAUAAAAAAUAGCAGUGGCGACCUGGUGAGCUUCAACCCGUUCCCGGGACAACAUCCGCAACCGACGGCCUUUCGGAAGAGAUAAUUUGGACUGUGAAAUUGUUUGGCUACGGAUUCGAGUCGAACAAAAUUUUUACUUUAUAAGUAUUCCGUUUCUUUGUGUAUUAUCUGUGUUUAAAUAUUUUGUUUAUAACUAAUAAGACGUAUUAAAAUUAGGUGGAACGAAGAAAAUUAAAAACGCAAAAGUAUUAAUGACUGCAAAACUUA